rnacentral:rRNA from 1 species
ACAUGCAGUCGACGAUGAUGAGGAGCUUGCUUCUCAUGAUUAGUGGCGAACGGGUGAGUAACACGUGACAAUCUGCCCUUGACUCUGGGAUAAGCGUUGGAAACGACGUCUAAUACCGGAUACGACCCUUGGAGGCAUCUCUGGGGGUGGAAAGAAUUUUGGUCAAGGAUGAGCUCGCGGCCUAUCAGCUAGUUGGUGAGGUAAUGGCUCACCAAGGCGACGACGGGUAGCCGGCCUGAGAGGGUGACCGGCCACACUGGGACUGAGACACGGCCCAGACUCCUACGGGAGGCAGCAGUGGGGAAUAUUGCACAAUGGGCGAAAGUGAUGCAGCAACSCGCGUGAGGGACGACGGCCUUCGGGUUGUAAACCUCUUUUAGUAGGGAAGAAGCGAAAGUGACGGUACCUGCAGAAAAAGCACCGGCUAACUACGUGCCAGCAGCCGCGGUAAUACGUAGGGUGCAAGCGUUGUCCGGAAUUAUUGGGCGUAAAGAGCUCGUAGGCGGUUUGUCGCGUCUGCUGUGAAAACCCGAGGCUCAACCUCGGCCUGCAGUGGGUACGGGCAGACUAGAGUGCGGUAGGGGAGAUUGGAAUUCCUGGUGUAGCGGUGGAAUGCGCAGAUAUCAGGAGGAACACCAAUGGCGAAGGCAGAUCUCUGGGCCGUAACUGACGCUGAGGAGCGAAAGCAUGGGGAGCGAACAGGAUUAGAUACCCUGGUAGUCCAUGCCGUAAACGUUGGGAACUAGAUGUGGGGACCAUUCCACGGUCUCCGUGUCGCAGCUAACGCAUUAAGUUCCCCGCCUGGGGAGUACGGCCGCAAGGCUAAAACUCAAAGGAAUUGACGGGGGCCGCACAAGCGGCGGAGCAUGCGGAUUAAUUCGAUGCAACGCGAAGAACCUUACCAAGGCUUGACAUAUAGAGGAAACGUCUGGAAACAGUCGCCCCGCAAGGUCUCUAUACAGGUGGUGCAUGGUUGUCGUCAGCUCGUGUCGUGAGAUGUUGGGUUAAGUCCCGCAACGAGCGCAACCCUCGUCCUAUGUUGCCAGCACGUAAUGGUGGGAACUCAUGGGAUACUGCCGGGGUCAACUCGGAGGAAGGUGGGGAUGACGUCAAAUCAUCAUGCCCCUUAUGUCUUGGGUUCACGCAUGCUACAAUGGCCGGUACAAAGGGCUGCAAUACCGCAAGGUGGAGCGAAUCCCAAAAAGCCGGUCUCAGUUCGGAUUGAGGUCUGCAACUCGACCUCAUGAAGUCGGAGUCGCUAGUAAUCGCAGAUCA